rnacentral:ribozyme from 12 species
AAAAAAUGGAAAAUUAUGUUGCGUAACGGAAGGUUGGUUGACGUACAGUAUAACUUUUGUUCAGCUACAUUUUUACAGCUCUUUAUUUCAAUCUAAUCGCAUCAUGUUAUGGUGUGUAUUUCAAAGCGGCCCUUGUCGCACUGUAUGAGUAUAAAUUAGAAAACCAUGAGACUGAAUUUUG